CCGGGCGCCGCGGCCAUCUCCGCCCCGAUCUGCGGAAGCCGCCGCGCGUGCGCACCGAGACUGAGCCCCGACCUGGCGUCUACACUGCGCGCCGCCGGGGGUGGGUGGGGCCGGAUCCCGCCACGUGGCGCGGCGAGUCCCAGAGGCUGGAGGACCCGGAAUAGGCGGGGUCUGCAGGCUCAGGAACCCCGGGCAGGGGCACCGUCCGGAGCGCGCGGACGGCGGGUCUGUCUACACCCGCCGGGCACAGUCUCGGGGGUGGAGAAUCCCAGCCGCCCCCUUCACCAGAGGCUCCAGCCCCAGCCCGCCUGGGGGUGAAGUGGACCCUCAAAGUGUCUCAGGAAUUGGUCAUUUGAGCGCAUCAGGCAGAGCAUCCUCUGUUUUUGUCCGGUAUCAAUUUGGUGACCCAGAUGGGACAAAACUCUUGACAUGCGAGGAGGCCAACUGCCCAAGAUUCUGGAGCCCGGGAGGACAGAAGCCACCAUUCAAACCACUGCUCUGACUGGAGGACACUGGGCAGGAGCCAUGGACCGAACCAGGCGGCUCUGAGAUGCAACCGGCUUCUCAGCGCCCACGUCCCCAGGGGACCCCCAACUGCCAGCUGUGCAGGGAUGUCGGGGCGGGGCCCCUCCUGCAGCCACGUGAGGCCUGGGUGCCGAGAGGGGCCCUGACCCGGCUGCACCCGAAGCCACCACAGCCAGGUGACGGUCAUUCUCAGGGCCCGGCAGGCGGAGUGUGUGUGCCUCCGUGUCAGCACCCAAGUGGCUCAGGAGCCUCUACCUGUUGGUGAAAAACAUCCUCCUCGCCAAAGUCAGCCUCCUCGUCGUCGUCUUCCUCCUCCCCAUCCUCAGUCCCCUGCACCGCCGAGGACUGCUUCACGGUUCUCAUGGCCACUUCCUGUGCAAGAUGGGGGCUGUGGGCGCGUGGCACACAGGGCUGUGGCCAUACCUGGGAUGGGGGGCGCCAGGAACACACCACCCCAGGGCCCCCAGCCCAGAGCCUGAGGACCCACCUCUCCAUCAGCGUUGACCAGGGUCGUCCGGAAGCUCUCACCCGUGCCCCAGCUCUGCUGGCUCUUCCACACAAGCGUGGCAGGGGGGCUGUGGGACACGCCCGCCCCAGCAGCCCACACCUGAGGGUGAGGACAGGCUGUCAGCCUCAGCUUCAGCCCCAGGGGAUGGUGACACGAGGCCCACAGUGGGGAGGCCACAGUGAACGGUGCAGCUGGGCUCUGCAGCAGAGCCAUCUCAGCACCUGCCUGUGCCACGGCAAGUGGCUGUCCCUGGAGCUGGCUCUCGAGGUCGAUCUCCUCGAUGGUGACGCUGCCGCUGGCUGACGCCUGCUGGGACACCUGGAAGCUGCCGGUGCUGCCGGUGCUGCUGCCAGUGCCGAUGCCGCUGGAGCCCGUGCCCAGGGACUCCUCCACCUCCAGCCGCUUCCGCUUGCGGCCCGGGCGGCCUGCCGUGGACAUGCUGCUGCUGCUGCUCGAGGUGGCCCGGGAGAUGGUGACCCGCGAUGACGGGCUCGGGGACAGCUUCAGCCUUGGGGACAGGGGUGGCGUGAGCAGCAGGCAGAGCCGCCCGCCCCGAGGAUCGCCAGGAGGGAGCCUCCCUGGUGGCCACCCCUCGCUGCGCCCCGGCCACCCGCACCUCUCCUCCUCGCCCUCCAGGAGCUUGCGGUAAGCACUGAUCUCCAUGUCCAGGGUCAGCUUGACGUCCAGCAGCUCCUGGUACUCGGCCAACUGCUGCUGCAUCACGUCCCGCAUCUCCGUCAUCUCCUGCUCCUUGGCAUCCAGCAUCUUCCGGAACUUGUCCCGCUCCCCGGCCAUCAUCUCCUCCAGCUCCCGGAUGCGGUCCUCAGCAGCACUGGCCUGGGAGGAAGCGGAGGGUCAGGCCUCUGAGAAGCCUCCCCCGGCUUCCCAGGACCUCGGGGCACAGCUGGGCCCGGGAGGACAGCGGCAGUGCCCUGGGCCCGCUGUGGUGGCUGCUCGGCCUGCCGGUCCCUGAGGGAGGGGCAGGCACAUGCGGUCGUCAGGCCUCCCUGCCGAGGCCACAUCUGCCACCGAGAGCAGGAUCCCUGCCCCCCGUGCAGGGCUCUGGGUGGGGGGCUCACCUGCUUCUGGAGGCCGGAGAGCUGGUAGCUGAGGGACUCCACCCGCAUGCGGGCUUCCUUCAGUUCCUCCCGGGCUGCGCUGGCCGCCUUGUCGUUCUGGUCGGAGCUCAGCUUGGCGCUCUCCAGCUGAGGGAGAGGAGGGCUGUCAGGGUGGGGGGCAGGGAGGGAGCCCACCCCAGCUGACCGGGCAGGUCAGCCCCAGCCCCGCCCACCUGCCCUGGUAGGCCCCACCCCUGCCCUGGUGGCCCCGCCCACCUUGGCCUGGCAGGCCCCUCCAGCCCUGCCCCCUGCCCUGGCAGCCACACUCUUGCCCACCUUGGCCUGGUAGGUCUGCUCCAGCUCGGCGCGGUACAGCUGCACUUGAGCGUCGUGCUGGCUGCGCAGCUCCUCCAGCGCCUGUGCCAUCUUGAAGUCGUACUCCUGCUGCCGGCUACUGUCCACCUCCACCAGGCGCCGCUCGUGCCGCCGCCGCGUCUCCCGCACCUCCUGGGGACAGGCUGGGCCUGAGCCGCCACGUGGGGGGCACCCGCCCAGGCCCCUCUGAUAAAGCCACCCCACAAGAGCUUUGGGGGCUCAAGGGGCAAAGCAGGGAGCCAACUGGCUCCCCUCUGCGAGUCUCCACCAACGUCAACACACAGACACCCACAGCCAGAGGGAGGACAGAGUGGGUGACGAGGCGGCCAGGCAGCCAUGCCCCAUGUCCCGCCUCAGAGACAGACCCAGGCCCUACAGAAGAUGCCCAGAGGGGAGGGGUGAGGGAGUGCCAGAGCCAACAGGUCCAUGCUGAGGGACAAGAACAUUCUGGAACUUGAGGUGGCUUCAUAGCAUCAGCACAUUAGCAUACUAAGACCUGCUGGGUUGUGUGCUGUUGGUGUGGGCGUCACAGCUCAGUAAAGAGGGACAAGGAGGGAUCCCGGGGCAGGAGGGGGACAGCCCCACUCUCACUAUCCCAACGGCCUCCUCCACAGACCCCCACCGCAAAGCAGUGCUGAGCCUGGGGGCCUGGGCCCUCCAUGACAGCGCACCCACCUUCGCAGCUGCCCUUGUGGCUCCAUGCUGGACCCCAGACACCACAUCCUUCGCAGACCCCUUCCCUCUGCCCCUCAGCACUUCCUGCCAGGACUGCCUUGGGGUCUCCCGCAGGGACCACUUCAAGGAGGCCCUCCUGGCUUCUGUGGAAGGUUCCCUCGCAGGGUCUCUCCGGGGUUCCCCCGUGGGGUCCUGCCCGGGCUCCCUCACAGCUCUAGCCACGGGUGCCCUCCCGCGUAUCUUCAUGGCGUCCCUCACGGGACCUCUCGCUGCUUCCCAUGCUGGCUGCCUCACACAUCCCCCCAUGGCUUGCCCCGCGAGCUCCCUCCCAGGCCUCCUCUUGGCCUCCUUUCUGGCAGCCCCCAUGCGGCCAGGCCGGGGCUGGGUGCAGCCCCUCCAUGGAGGUGGCAUCCUCUCACUGGCAGCUCUUCCCAGGCUGCGAGUGCACUGGCUGCCUGGCCCCAAGGUUCUGCUCAGGGCCCCUGGGCCGUGACGACACACAGGGCUCUGUGACACGCGGGGGGGGGGGGGCUGGGCUGGGACCCCAGCUGGGGGGAGACUCUGGACCCUCAGGGGCCCCUCUUCCCAGAGCCCAGAAAUGCCAGCUCUACCGGCCGGGGACCCCCCAUCACUCCCAGCUGCACCCCCACUGUCCCAAGGAGCCAGAGGCCCAGGACAGAGGGAGCAGGUGGGCCUUCCCCUGCCUUGCUGUUAAGAGGCCCCAUAGUGGCUUGACUGGCAGCUCCCCAAAAAGAUAAGGCCAUGCCCUGAUCCCCAGAACUGAUGCCUGGGACCUUAUCUGGGAAAUGGGUCCUUGCAGGAGUUCAGUUAAGGGGCUCAAGAGGGUGUCACCCUGGACUCUAGGGGGCCCUAAACCCAAUGGCGAUGUCCUCAGAAGAGGCAAGGCACGGGCAGAGGGGAGAGGCCAUGUGACGCAGAGGCAGACACCGGACAGGCGGCCACAGAGCCCCCGGGGCCACCGGGAGGGACCCUCCCAGAGCCUGCCGGAGCGCAGCCUCCGAGCUGCCGCCUAGCGUGGUGACCUGUUACGGCUGCCCAGGAAGCAGGCGAGCCCUGCAGGCCAGCACCCAGCAGACCCACCUCCUCAAACACACUCUUCCGGAAGUCGAGCUCCUCCUGCAGGCUCUGACAGCGGUUCUCCAGGUCCACACGCAUCAGUGUCUCCUUCUCCAGCUGUUUUUUUGCCACCAUGUGGCCGUCCUCAGCCUGGAGACACGGGCGCAAAGAGAUGACCGUCUGCUUGCUGGACCACAGCCAGCUCCUGGGGCCCAGGGGUCCCCCUCAAAUGCACUGGAGUGGGGGGGAUCUUCAGACCACCGGCAUCUGAUACCCAGGCACACAACGCCCCACCCAAUGCUGAGCUUUGCCACACUGGAGAGGUCUCCUGUCACUGGCAGGGGUGUCAGGACUGGGGGGGAGGUGUGGGUACCCACCUUGGCAAGCUGGGCCCGCAGCUCGGCCACGUCGCUCUCCAGGCCACGCUUUUCGCUGAGCGCUGCAGCCAGCUCCACCUCGCUGCGGUGGAACAGGGACUCCAGGUCCUUCACGCGGCCCUGUGCCACCGUGAGCUCGCCCUCUCUCUUCUUGGAGCUGGAAGUCAAGAAGGACCGUGAGCCGGGGCUGCCCAGCACCCCCCUUGGAAGCUGGGGAGGCUCCAGCAAGGCCACGGUCCCGGGUCAGGAGGGGACUGGGCGAUGGGGUCUGUGGGAGAGUAGUGUCGUCACAGCCGUCAGCAGACAUGCUCCUGGCCCCAGAGCCCGGCUACCGACAGCCCCCAGGGCCCAGAGGCUUUGAGGCGUGGCUUUCUGUGUCCUAUCCAGUGACUUGUGGACACAGAGAUCAUCCCAAGGAAAUUGGGUUUGGGAAAAUCCAUGUAACAUUUGUUACAAAUCAUAAACCCUCAUCUGUAAACAGGUUUAAACUUUAUACCUGGAAGCAGGCCAAGCCAGUGUCCUAAGAGAACGUUUAUCUUAAAGAUGAACUAUUUAAAAUGAUGUUCAGAUUCUUUACCACACAAAGAAUAUCAUGGAAUCAAGGCUCCUGAACAUCGCAAAGCUUAAUUCUAGGUCUUGGAGUUGAAUGGCCACCCCUCCUCCCCCCAAGGAACGCACAGAGUCAGCCCAAGCCACAGUGGGGGCGCCUGGGGUUUCCCAGUGUCGGCAUUUGGGGUCAGAUCGUUCUCUGGGGUGGGGGCGUCCCAGCCCUCCACUCACGUGCUGCCAACGGGACCUCCCUCCCCAUGAGCUAACAACCAAAAACGUCUCCAGACACUAAGGCCCCGGGGUGGGGGUGCAGAAAUGCCCCCAGUUGAGAGCCACUGGGGGUAGGUGCCAUGUCGGCAAUGGGGUGGCACAGAGACCAGCGACUUCCAGCCAGAGAGCUCGCUGCACCUGCCAGCAGCCCUUGGGGACACGGAGCUCUGCUGAGGCAUGUGUUGUCCUCCCCAUGCGGGGUUUUGGGGUGCAGGUAGCCCACACUCCAAGGCUCAGGCCACUCAGGCCAUACACCCGACCCCUCGCUCAGCAGGCUGCAAAACCCACUUCCCUGGACAGGAGUUUUGCAGGGGUUUGAGGAAACGUGGCUCAUUCAUUCACCAGAUGAGCGAACCCCAGAGGAAAGCACUUGUCACUCCUGGGAGGUAUCAGGGAACAAAGCCAACCCUCUGCCCUCACGAAGCAGAACUUUCUCAUGGGUUGAACACACUAAAAUACACUGUUAUCAAGAAGCACAGCAUACCCCAAACAGAAUUGAUCCAAAUAGACCUACUCCAAGACAUUAAUCAGAUUUUCAAAUGCCAAAGACAGAACUCUGAAAGCAGCGAGAGAAAAGCAAUCCAUCACAUCCA